GAGAUGCCUGAUGCAAGGGUGAGGAUUCCUCAUCUCUUGAGGUUUUAAAAUGGGAUUAGACCUUGUUCUAAAUCUCAGGCAGGAGGUAGGUUUUUGUAGCAGGAAUCACUACGAGAAAUUCUACAGUCUCGUUCAGGUGGGGGAUAUGACUAAAUUGUCAUAAUAACCCUUUCUAGCCUAAACAUCUAUGAGGAGGAUGGGACAACACUGCCCAGGACCUCUGUCCAGUUAAGAAUCUAUGUCGCUGUCCAACUGCUUGACUUUCACUAGGGUACUACCUCUGGACUCUGCCUGUUACCUUCAGCCAAGAUGGGCUAAAAUUUCAAAAUCUGGAUCUGAAGUGCUGAUGGUGCCAAAAUGCAAGAGUACCUGGAUGCGUGGUUUUGGCUCAGCCAAGUCUUACUGAUCUCCCUGGAUCUUUUGAAGAAUGAGAUGGGUUUGAAGAAGAGGAUGACAAGUGCAAGGAGAUCAGGUCUACGAAGAAAUCCAGAAAGACAGCUAUCGUCUUUCACGGUACUUCUGGAAGCAGAGAGAGUCAGUGGAAGAUGCCUUCGAGUUGAGACGGAGGGGGACGGUUUUUUCCUGUUUAUUUUGGGGGAGAGAGAAGUCACAGAAAACAUUAUAGCCAAGGAAAAAAAAAAGGUCUGGAGCUGAGAGGAGUCCUCGAAACACUGUAAGAAAUGAGAACUUUUUUUUCUCUUUUUUUAAAGGGAGGGAAUUUGUAAUUUGCCAAAAGUUCUUCUACUUCUAAUGUCUGUCAACAGGCCACUGAACUUCUAUAGCAUUAAUUUUUCUCUCCCUGAUUCUCAGGUACUUCACACUCAGCUACAGAGUCCAUGAGACAAAGUUAUACCUAUGCUAAUCUAGGGUAACCUCAAGGAAGUAACUCUGGAUUGAAAGGGUUAUAACUGAGGCUAUGUCUACACUAUGGACUUCUGCUGGCAUCGCUGUGUUGAUCAGGGGUUUGAAGAGGAGUUUGAACAACAGAACUAUGCCCAACAGAAGCCCCUAGUGUAGAUGCAUUUUACUGAUAAAGCUCUACUUUUAUUGGUAUAGCUCAUUUCACUUGGGGUGAUUUUAUUAUACCAGUACUAAGCAUAGCUUUGCUGGUAUAUCUGUGUCCACACCUGAAGCAUUUGGCCUGUAUAGCAAACUGUUUUUUCUAUAAUAGUUAAGUCCUACUCGACAGAGCUAUAAUAUAGAAUUUACCCCUUUCAUCUCCUAAGGCUAUAUAAACACUAUCGUUCUGACUAUGCACCUAUCAAAUGCAUGUGGCAGAAAAAAUAGUGCCAUAUGAAUGUAUACAGUACAUAUACAACUGUAGUACAGUAUAUCACCUCAUUUGAGAGAAGCCUGCAACAUGAAUAAAAACAUUAAAAAAAUAAUAAUCA
rnacentral:lncRNA from 1 species